AUUGAACGCUGGCGGCAGGCCUAACACAUGCAAGUCGAGCGAGCGGCGGACGGGUGAGUAAUGUCUGGGAAACUGCCUGAUGGAGGGGGAUAACUACUGGAAACGGUAGCUAAUACCGCAUACCAUCAGAUGUGCCCAGAUGGGAUUAGCUAGUAGGUGGGGUAAUGGCUCACCUAGGCGACGAUCCCUAGCUGGUCUGAGAGGAGGACCAGGCACACUGAAAGUGAGAAACGGUCCACACUCCUAGGGGAGGCAGCAGUGGGGAAUAUUGCACAAUGGGCGCAAGCCUGAUGCAGCCAUGCCGCGUGUAUGAAGAAGGCCUUCGGGUUGUAAAGUACUUUCAGCGAGGAGGCGUUACUCGCAGAAGAAGCACCGGCUAACUCCGGGCCAGCAGCCGCGGUAAUAC
rnacentral:rRNA from 1 species